UACGAAGGGGGCUAGCGUUGCUCGGAAUCACUGGGCGUAAAGCGCACGUAGGCGGCUUUCUAAGUCAGGGGUGAAAUCCUGGAGCUCAACUCCAGAACUGCCUUUGAUACUGGAGAGCUUGAGUCCGGGAGAGGUGAGUGGAACUCCGAGUGUAGAGGUGAAAUUCGUAGAUAUUCGGAAGAACACCAGUGGCGAAGGCGGCUCACUGGCCCGGUACUGACGCUGAGGUGGCGAAAGCGUGGGGAGCAAACAGG
rnacentral:rRNA from 1 species